UUGCACUGAAGUAGAACCUUAGAGAUGGCUGAUGCCUCUGCUCAGAACACUCCAGAAGGCCAUGGCCAGCGACAAGAUCCCCCCUCACCACUCAUGGGUCAGCAAAAGCUGCUGAGCAGAGCCAGCCAGCUGAGACCCACCCCGUGCACUGCUGGUGUUGCCAGUCCCCAUGCCCAGAGAGUCAGACAUACCCCAUGCUACCCCAAAUGAUGUUUCUCCAAGUUAUUCCUGAAACCUCCAGCCUCAGAAGGAGCACUGGUAGCUCUGCAGGUCCCAGACUCA
rnacentral:lncRNA from 12 species